AACUUAUAACGAUGGAUGACUAGGCUCUUAGAAUGAUGAAGGACGCAGCAAAGUGCGAUAAGUAUUAUGACUUGCAAUCUUCAUGAUUAAUUAGUAUCCGAACGCAGAUGUACUUAUAAUUAUUUAUAAGUAUUAUUGACUCCGUGUGU